GAGACUCUGUGCGCGUGCAUAUCAAUAAGCGGAGGAAAAGAAGCUAACAAGGAUUCCCUUAGUAACGGCGAGUGAAGCGGGAAGAGCUCAAAUUUGAAAUCUUCAAGGUUUUACCUUGACGAAUUGUAGUUUAAAGAAGUGUUUUCUGUUGAAGUUUUGGUAAAAGUUCUUUGGAAUAGGACAUCAUAGAGGGUGAGAAUCCCGUAUUUGACCAUUAUUUUCAGCUGUGUGAUACACUUUCAAAGAGUCGGAUUGUUUGGGAAUGCAGUCCAAAAUGGGUGGUAAAUUUCAUCUAAAGCUAAAUAUUGGCGAGAGACCGAUAGCGAACAAGUACCGUGAGGGAAAGAUGAAAAGAACUUUGAAAAGAGAGUUAAACAGUACGUGAAAUUGUCAAAAGGGAAGCGUUUGACACCAGUGUUGUUUUCUCGAAAAUCAAUUAAAAAGAGUUGGAUUUUGUGUUGUAUUGACCUUAACAGCUUUCUUCACUCUUUUCCUGCUUUUUUUGAUGCACUUUUCGUUUAACAAGUCAACAUCAGUUUCUUUUGUUGUAAAAGGGUCAUUGGAAGGUGGCUUUCUCUUCGGAGAAAGUGUUUAUAGCCUUUGAUCUCUGCAAUCGGAGAGACUGAGGUCUGCAGCGUAGAUCCUUCGGGGUUAGAUACAUUUGUGCUAAGCUACAGCUUUUCAUAGACAACUUGUUGACUAUGUUUAGUCUUGUGACUUACCCGCUUAUGCUAUUUUACCUACGCUUAGGAUGUUGAAUCUGUGCGAGACUAC
rnacentral:rRNA from 1 species